GCAGCUUCUCCGGAGGGAGUUUGAGAAGUGUGUCGAGCUCCUCACCGGGCUCGAGCAUGCGUACAAGCGAUGGGCAUUCCUUGAGGUUGAUGUUAGAGAGCAACGUCAUCUUCACCAUCUGCCA
rnacentral:SRP_RNA from 14 species